UACGAGAGGUCUCAAGCGUUGUUCGGAUUCAUUGGGCGUAAAGGGUGCGUAGGUGGCGGGGUAAGUCAGGUGUGAAAUUUACGGAGCGUUAACUUCCGAAACUGCAUUUGAUACUGCCUUGCUUGAGGACUGGAGAGGAGACUGGAAUUCCUGGUGUAGUGGUGAAAUACGUAGAUAUCAGGAGGAACACCGGUGGCGAAGGCGGCGAUCUGGCCCAACAUUGACACUGAGACCCAAAAGCGUGGGGAUCAAACAGG
rnacentral:rRNA from 1 species